AACGAACGCUGGCGGCAGGCUUAACACAUGCAAGUCGAGCGCCCCGCAAGGGGAGCGGCAGACGGGUGAGUAACGCGUGGGAAUCUACCCAUCUCUACGGAAUAACGCAUGGAAACGUGUGCUAAUACCGUAUACGUCCUUCGGGAGAAAGAUUUAUCGGAGAUGGAUGAGCCCGCGUUGGAUUAGCUAGUUGGUGGGGUAAAGGCCUACCAAGGCGACGAUCCAUAGCUGGUCUGAGAGGAUGAUCAGCCACACUGGGACUGAGACACGGCCCAGACUCCUACGGGAGGCAGCAGUGGGGAAUAUUGGACAAUGGGCGCAAGCCUGAUCCAGCCAUGCCGCGUGAGUGAUGAAGGCCCUAGGGUUGUAAAGCUCUUUCACCGGUGAAGAUAAUAACGGUAACCGGAGAAGAAGCCCCGGCUAACCUCGUGCCAGCAGCCGCCGUAAGAC
rnacentral:rRNA from 1 species